rnacentral:rRNA from 1 species
UACGUAGGGUGCAAGCGUUAAUCGGAAUUACUGGGCGUAAAGCGUGCGCAGGCGGUUUUGUAAGUUUGUCGUGAAAUCCCCGGGCUCAACCUGGGAAUUGCGAUGAAGACUGCAAGGCUAGAAUCUGGCAGAGGGGGGUAGAAUUCCACGUGUAGCAGUGAAAUGCGUAGAGAUGUGGAGGAACACCGAUGGCGAAGGCAGCCCCCUGGGCUAACACUGACGCUCAUGCACGAAAGCGUGGGGAGCAAACAGG